AGCGAACGCUGGCGGCAGGCCUAACACAUGCAAGUCGAACGAAGUCUUCGGACUUAGUGGCGGACGGGUGAGUAGCACGUGGGAACGUGCCUUUAGGUUCGGAAUAACUCAGGGAAACUUGUGCUAAUACCGAAUGUGCCCCUCGGGGGAAAGAUUUAUCGCCUUUAGAGCGGCCCGCGUCUGAUUAGCUAGUUGGUGAGGUAAAGGCUCUCCAAGGCGACGAUCAGUAGCUGGUCUGAGAGGAUGAUCAGCCACAUUGGGACUGAGACACGGCCCAAACUCCUGCGGGAGGCAGCAGUGGGGAAUCUUGCGCAAUGGGCGAAAGCCUGACGCAGCCAUGCCGCGUGAAUGAUGAAGGUCUUAGGAUUGUAAAAUUCUUUCACCGGGGACGAUAAUGACGGUACCCGGGGAAGAAGCCCCGGCUAACUUCGUGCCAGCAGCCGCCGUAAAAC
rnacentral:rRNA from 1 species